GGGGUCGUGGAUCAGUGGUAGAGCGCUUGCCUAGCAUGCAUGAGGCACUGGGUUUGAUUCUCAGCACCACA
rnacentral:tRNA from 1 species